rnacentral:rRNA from 1 species
GUAUCUUCGGAUAUGAGUAGAGCGGCGGACGGGUGAGUAACGCGUAGGAAUCUACCUAGUAGAAGGGGAUAGCCCGAGGAAACUCGGAUUAAUACCGUAUACCUCCUUCGGGAGAAAGAAGGCCUCUCUUUGAAGCUUUCGCUACUAGAUGAGCCUGCGUAAGAUUAGCUUGUUGGUGAGGUAAAGGCUCACCAAGGCUACGAUCUUUAGCGGGUCUGAGAGGACGAUCCGCCACAUUGGGACUGAGACACGGCCCAGACUCCUACGGGAGGCAGCAGUGGGGAAUAUUGGACAAUGGGCGAAAGCCUGAUCCAGCCAUACCGCGUGUGUGAAGAAGGCCCUAGGGUUGUAAAGCACUUUAAGUUGGGAAGAAAAGUUAUUGGUUAAUACCCAAUGACCGUGACAUUACCAUCAGAAUAAGGACCGGCUAAUUCCGUGCCAGCAGCCGCGGUAAUACGGAAGGUCCAAGCGUUAAUCGGAAUUACUGGGCGUAAAGCGCGCGUAGGUGGUUUAUUAAGUUGGGUGUGAAAUCCCCGGGCUCAACCUGGGAACUGCAUCCAAAACUGAUUCACUAGAGUACGAUAGAGGGAGGUAGAAUUCACAGUGUAGCGGUGGAAUGCGUAGAUAUUGUGAAGAAUACCAAUGGCGAAGGCAGCCUCCUGGAUCUGUACUGACACUGAGGUGCGAAAGCGUGGGUAGCGAACAGGAUUAGAUACCCUGGUAGUCCACGCCGUAAACGAUGUCAACUAUCUGUUGGAAAGCAUUGCUUUUCAG